CCUACGGGGGCAGCAGUGGGGAAUAUUGGACAAUGGGCGAAAGCCUGAUCCAGCCAUGCCGCGUGUGUGAAGAAGGCCUUCGGGUUGUAAAGCACUUUCAGUGGGGAAGAAAGCCUUGGGGCUAAUACCCUCGAGGAAGGACAUCACCCACAGAAGAAGCACCGGCUAACUCCGUGCAGCAGCCGCGGUAAUACGGAGGGUGCGAGCGUUAAUCGGAAUUACUGGGCGUAAAGCGCGCGUAGGCGGUCUGAUAAGCCGGUUGUGAAAGCCCCGGGCUCAACCUGGGAACGGCAUCCGGAACUGUCAGGCUAGAGUGCAGGAGAGGAAGGUAGAAUUCCCGGUGUAGCGGUGAAAUGCGUAGAGAUCGGGAGGAAUACCAGUGGCGAAGGCGGCCUUCUGGACUGACACUGACGCUGAGGUGCGAAAGCGUGGGUAGCAAACAGGAUUAGAUACCCCUGUAGUC
rnacentral:rRNA from 1 species